rnacentral:misc_RNA from 1 species
AAUGGCCAUCAAAUAUUGCAAAUAGACCAAGUUCAUUUUCAUCAACUUGUUUAAACUGUGCAAAAACAUAAUCUUCCAUGGUGUGAUGCGAUUUUCCCUCAACCAUGUGAUACCCAUGGGUUAUGUUCUUCGACAUCUUACUCUUACCUCUUCCGGUAUCUGACGAACUUAAACCAACCUUUUCCUUAAUUUUGUCGAUGAUUUCUUUGCCUCCAGUCAUGAUGCAAAAUUAAUA